GACGAACGCUGGCGGCGUGCUUAACACAUGCAAGUCGAACGGAAAGGCCCUGCUUUUGUGGGGUGCUCGAGUGGCGAACGGGUGAGUAACACGUGAGUAACCUGCCCUUGACUUUGGGAUAACUUCAGGAAACUGGGGCUAAUACCGGAUAGGAGCUCCUGCUGCAUGGUGGGGGUUGGAAAGUUUCGGCGGUUGGGGAUGGACUCGCGGCUUAUCAGCUUGUUGGUGGGGUAGUGGCUUACCAAGGCUUUGACGGGUAGCCGGCCUGAGAGGGUGACCGGCCACAUUGGGACUGAGAUACGGCCCAGACUCCUACGGGAGGCAGCAGUGGGGAAUAUUGCACAAUGGGCGGAAGCCUGAUGCAGCAACGCCGCGUGCGGGAUGACGGCCUUCGGGUUGUAAACCGCUUUCGCCUGUGACGAAGCGUGAGUGACGGUAAUGGGUAAAGAAGCACCGGCUAACUACGUGCCAGCAGCCGCGGUGAUACGUAGGGUGCGAGCGUUGUCCGGAUUUAUUGGGCGUAAAGGGCUCGUAGGUGGUUGAUCGCGUCGGAAGUGUAAUCUUGGGGCUUAACCCUGAGCGUGCUUUCGAUACGGGUUGACUUGAGGAAGGUAGGGGAGAAUGGAAUUCCUGGUGGAGCGGUGGAAUGCGCAGAUAUCAGGAGGAACACCAGUGGCGAAGGCGGUUCUCUGGGCCUUUCCUGACGCUGAGGAGCGAAAGCGUGGGGAGCGAACAGGCUUAGAUACCCUGGUAGUCCACGCUGUAAACGGUGGGUACUGGGUGUGGGGUCCAUUCCACGGGUUCCGUGCCGUAGCUAACGCUUUAAGUACCCCGCCUGGGGAGUACGGCCGCAAGGCUAAAACUCAAAGGAAUUGACGGGGCCCCGCACAAGCGGCGGAGCAUGCGGAUUAAUUCGAUGCAACGCGUAGAACCUUACCUGGGUUUGAUAUGGAUCGGGAGCGCUCAGAGAUGGGUGUGCCUCUUUUGGGGUCGGUUCACAGGUGGUGCAUGGCUGUCGUCAGCUCGUGUCGUGAGAUGUUGGGUUAAGUCCCGCAACGAGCGCAACCCUUGUUCACUGUUGCCAGCACGUUAUGGUGGGGACUCAGUGGAGACCGCCGGGGUCAACUCGGAGGAAGGUGGGGAUGACGUCAAGUCAUCAUGCCCCUUAUGUCCAGGGCUUCACGCAUGCUACAAUGGCUGGUACAGAGAGUGGCGAGCCUGUGAGGGUGAGCGAAUCUCGGAAAGCCGGUCUCAGUUCGGAUUGGGGUCUGCAACUCGACCUCAUGAAGUCGGAGUCGCUAGUAAUCGCAGAUCAGCAACGCUGCGGUGAAUACGUUCCCGGG
rnacentral:rRNA from 1 species